ACCGCAAAAACGAACUCGCUUCAGUGUGAAUGGAAAUGAUGUUUCAGUGAGUGACACACAAACCACCAAGGAAAUAUUCUGGAUCCACUAGCUGCUAAAAAAUACUAUUUGCUGCAGAAUCAUUUCCAUCACAAAUUGACAUCAAAGGCUAUAGAAUCAAAGUAGAAUCAAGAAGUUCAUCUGGGAAUCAAAGAAAAUUUAUCCAUUCGAUGAUUAAACUCUCUGUACAAAGGAAGAAGCACUAAUUACCCCAUAGAAUACAUGAUGAAAAACAAUAAAAAUGUUAAUCUCUCUCUAAUUAGCCACUAAACUCAGGCCAAAACUUUGAGCAGCCUUCCGGUGGUCUAGUACUUGUGAGCUAGCUGGGCAGCACCACAUUUCUUGCGGGGAGAAAACAUAGAAGCAAAAGUAUGGGCCAGACCCAGAACUAUUGCCACCUUAACUUGCCCUCUCUUGGGGAUCAUACGGCCAUAAAACCUCUGUGAGUAACUUACACCAUUGAUCAUCACACUAGCUGCCAUCUCUGUUUUCCUUCUUCUUCCUUCUCUUGGGAGAUUGAAAAUGUGAGAGAGAAAGAAAAGUUGUUGAGACUUGGGAGUGGAAUGUGUUGGUUAAGAUGGUACUUUGACACGUUGGUUUAUAUAGAGAUUGGCCUAAAGAAAAUGCCCUUUACUAGAGAUUGCCCAUUAUUUUGUUACCCAUUUUGACCAUGCCUUAGAUCACAAUUAUACAGAAUUUUGUAAGGUUUGGCAAGGAUAGCAUGGUCUUUGUGGAACAUGGUGGCUAGAGUACACAGAAA
rnacentral:lncRNA from 1 species